CGUUAGCGGCGGACGGGUGAGUAACACGUGGGUGACCUACCUAUAAGACUGGGAUAACUCCGGGAAACCGGGGCUAAUACCGGAUAACACAUGAAACCGCAUGGUUUCAUGAUGAAAGACGGUUUUGCUGUCACUUAUAGAUGGACCCGCGGCGUAUUAGCUAGUUGGUAAGGUAACGGCUUACCAAGGCAACGAUACGUAGCCGACCUGAGAGGGUGAUCGGCCACACUGGAACUGAGACACGGUCCAGACUCCUACGGGAGGCAGCAGCG
rnacentral:rRNA from 1 species